AUGUCCUCAUCAGUCAGCAUCAUGAAUGGAGCUAGAACUCACAGGGAAGGUAGAAGUUUGCAUACAUGCUGUCUGGAAAGCACCAUUGCUUCAGAAUCAUCCACUACCUUGGCAUGUUACCAAAAUGAUGUAUGCAGCAAUUAUCUGGCCAAUCCAAAGUGAUUCUGUGCUCACUGCUGUCAUCAUAAUUGCCAUUGGAAUGUGAAGCCAAUGGAAAUAACCUGAGAAUUAGCCCUAAGUAGAAAUAAGAAGUGUGGAGACUAUGUCCCUAUUCUCCAUUGCCUGAUACUUACCAGCGACUGCAAUGUCCUUACAUGAUGGGAUGCUUGACCAAAGGAAAGGAAAGAUUGCAAAGUGCUUACAUCUCCAGCUCCUUUUACAUCUUAUAGUCGACUGAAA